rnacentral:rRNA from 1 species
AGAGGGUGCGAGCGUUAAUCGGAAUUACUGGGCGUAAAGCGCACGUAGGCGGCUUGGCAUGUCGGGUGUGAAAUCCCCGGGCUCAACCUGGGAACUGCAUCCGAAACUGCCUUGCUAGAGUAUGGGAGAGGGAAGUGGAAUUUCCGGUGUAGCGGUGAAAUGCGUAGAUAUCGGAAGGAACAUCAGUGGCGAAGGCGACUUCCUGGACCAAUACUGACGCUCAGGUGCGAAAGCGUGGGGAGCAAACAGGAUUAGAUACCCUGGUAGUCCACGCCCUAAACGAUGGCCACUGGGUGUUGGGGAAGCGAUUCCUUGGUACCGCAGCUAACGCAUUAAGUAUUCCGCCUGGGGAGUACGGCCGCAAGGUUA